rnacentral:lncRNA from 13 species
GGAAUAUUACUGAGCCUGCAGCCAUAACAUGAGCACACAUGGGUUCACAUGGACAUCUAACCAAUAAGACAAGCUCUCCACUCCUCUCUGUGCUGAGGACUCGCACGCACACACACACUAACCACUGCAUAACAGUUUAACCUCUGUACUGAGAAUAGCCAGAUCACCGGCUCUAUCCAAGGCCUUCAUGUGAACACAUAGUCCAAGCACUGACGAGGAUGCAGCAACACAGCAACACUGAACCUCUGACCUUUUCCUGUAACAACAUUUUCCCUGAUCUUACCUUUUCAAUGACAGGUAAUAUGAUAGGUAAUGAGUUGUAACAUAACCACUGUAGGCGCGACAAAACCACUAUAGGUGCGACAUAACCACUGUAGACGCGACAACCACUGUAGGUGUGACAUAACCACUGUAGGUUGUAGGUGCGACAUAACCAUUGUAGGUUGUAGGUAUGACAUAACCACGGUAUGUGCGACAUAACCACUGUAGGUUGUAGGUGUAACAUAAUCACUGUAGGUUGUAGGUGUAACAUAAUCACUGUAGGUUGUAGGUGUAACAUAAUCACUGUAGGUUGUAGGUGUAACAUAAUCACUGUAGGUGUGACAUAACCACUGAAGGUGUGACAUAAUCCCUGUAGGUGUGACAUAAACCCUGUAGCUGUGACAUAACCACUGAAGGUGUGACAUAAUCCCUGUAGGUGUGACAUAAACCCUGUAGGUGUGACAUAACCACUGAAGGUGUGACAUAACCACUGUAGGUGUGACAUAAUCCCUGUAGGUGUAACAUAAUCACUGUAGGUGUGACAUAACCACUGUAGAUUGUAGGUGUAACAUAAUCAAUGAAGGUGUGACAUAACUACUGUAGAUGUGACAUAACCAAUGUAUAUGUGAAAUAACCCCUGUAGGUGUUUCAUAAUCCCUGUAGGUGUGACAUAACCACUGUAGGUUCGAAAUAACCACUGUAGGAGUGGCAUAACCACUGUAGGAGUGGCAUAACCACUGUAGGAGUGGCA